GUCAAACAGAAUCAGCAUCCCAUUCAUGAUCAGAUAACAACAAUAAGAAUCAAUAAUGUACAAUCAAACAACAAUGUGCAAGGCACAAGGCUCAAAGCUCAAAUGCUAUGCAUCCUACAAAACAGCCACAUUAGUUUACAAGUCAAGUAAGAUAAUCCCAAAUGUGAAACAAUAUCCUUAAGCCUUAACUCCUUAACCUGAAAAGCCACAAUCACAUUCAAAUGUAAGUAACAUGACCACUAGGACUAGCCUAGGGUCCAAAA
rnacentral:lncRNA from 1 species